rfam:Theileria equi strain WA gcontig_1105316255047 apicoplast, whole genome shotgun sequence.
GUAUAUAUAAUUUAAUGUUAAAAUAUUAAUCUUCCAAAUUAAUUAUGAGGGUUAGAGUCCCUUUAUAUAUA